rnacentral:rRNA from 1 species
GUGCCAGCCGCCGCGGUAAUACGAAAGGUCCAAGCGUUACUCGGAAUUACUGGGCGUAAAGCGCGCGUAGGCGGCUUUGUAUGUCGAUUGUGAAAGCCCCGGGCUCAACCUGGGAACUGCAGUCGAAACUGCAAAGCUUGAAUGUUGGAGAGGUUGGGGGAAUACCUAGUGGAGAAGUGAAAUUCGUAGAGAUUAGGUGGAACACCAGAGGCGAAGGCGCCUGACUGGCCAAACAUUGACGCUGAGGCGCGAAAGCGUGGGUAGCAAACAGGAUUAGAUACCCUUGUAGUCC